GUUUGGGUUUGGGGGCUCAUUUAUUCUGUGUGGCCCUUCAAUAAAACUCUCUCUGCUCCAAACUUUGUUUCAAUAUUGUUUGACCACACUGUGCAGGAUACAGGAUCUUGUACUAGGUAACAGAAGUAGGGCUUAGGAGUAACCUGAUUGUGAGGUGAGGCCAAAACACUGACAGCAAGGAGGAAGGCAAGCUGGAGCCCCUUAAACCUUUGUCACUCAGCCUGGUGGUCCCCCACAACCUGAAGUGGGCUGAGUAGGAAUAGCUGGGCAGACAGCAAAGACAUGGGUUACUUGGGAGCUGUGAGCGGCUUCAUUCUGCUGUCUCCUGGCAUCCUGAGAUGCUGCUUAUAUAAACAGCUUGGCCAAGAAUAGAGAGAGAGAGAGAGCGAGCCUCAGCCUUCCACUCAAAACAUAGGCUGGUCGGGGCUGUGGCCUCUGCUCCUAAAAAUAAAGCCUGUAAAGGGAAUGAAGGCUAAUGCACCUGGAGGUGAAACCACAGGUCAGGUGGGCAAAGCUUUUAAAUGGACUGUCUUUAAAUGGACUGUGUCGGGGACAGCACGGUGACAUUUCCCCCAAGCUCAAGGAGAGCUUGGCCAUCAGAAGGCUGACUGCAAAUCACGAUCGCCAUGGGCUGAGCUCACUUUCAGACCCUGCCCAGGUUCCAAAUUUCUCACAUCGGUAGCCAGCAAACAAUCACAAAAUAGAAUCUAACUGACAAAGCCCUUCUAAAUCCCAGAGGCGAACCUCACACAACCAACCAGUAUGCUCAGACUCCUCCACCCAUUCUGCCCGUGGACCUGGCCUGGGAUGGAGAGGUGACAGUGGCCACCAGGAAGGCCUGGGGGCUUCCAAACGAGGUGAGGGAGGGCCGCAGCUCAGAGGCUUUUUUCUUGGAGCUCCAGACAAAUUAAAAACCUCCUUACCGGCCAUUCAUUCGGAGGAGGCUUCUUCCUUCCUCCUCAGGGGGGCUGCAGUGUUGGAAGGAGAUCAGAUUCUGGAAGGCCUGGCCUCCUGGAGCUCUCAAGGAGGGGGAACCUGAAAGAAUGGAUAGAGAAAGGCCCUAACCCUGAGGAGAUUGGCAGGCAGGGAGUGGGGGUAAAGUGCAGCCCAGGUCACUGGGAAAAAAGAAAUCUCAAAGUAAGGGAGUGGGGGAAAGUUCCACUUCCAGCCUCAUUAUGAAAGGAGCUUGGGUAUAGAGAGGGGCGGGAGAGCCUGAAAGAGGGAGAAAAGGGAAAGGAAACGUGGCAGAGAGCAGAAGAGAUUCUUGUGGGGCCUGGGCUGUUUGAAGGAACAUGGGCUGGCAAAGGGGCCGCCUCUUUCAGAACCGUAGAGACCUGGAAGCCCAUUGCCUGGAACUCCCAAAGAGGGAGGGCAAAACACCCUAUUAAGGGUGGGACGAAUUGAUUUCCCAAAGAACAGCACCAUUUCCUCCAAGCGCCAUCUCCAGUCCUCCUUAAUCUGCCCUGGAGGCAGCGGGUGACCUCCGAGGAGGCCCCUGGAGGUGUCUUUGUUCUGGGGCAUUCUGCAGCUUGCCCCACACCCACCCCUUGCACCUGGGCAGUAGCCUCCAGGUGCACUUGUCCAUCCUUCGCUGGCUGGCCAGGAGGGAUGGGAGGAUGCCUUUGUAUGUGAAAAGCCACGAAUCCUUCGACUUCAGUUUUCCCUUCCACUUGACACAUCGGCUGAUGGUUUUCCUAUACACUCCUACGGCCACAGAGACCUGCUCCCAGGGGGGUAAAAUAGUUUAAUCUGCAACACUUUAUCUGCUGUAACAACUUCACCGACUGUCUUGGUUCCACCCCGAGGAUUUUCGCUGAGAGAACACGGUUAGAGGGAAUCAGGAAGCAGAGAAAAGGUCACAAAUAAGCACCUCAGGAACAAUGAAAGCUUUUCUCUAUGCAACAGUGGGAGCGUUGCUAGAAAAAACUGGAAAGGUAUGCAGUGGUAAAUUCAGCCCAUACUGAAGCCAAAGGGAAAAUCAGCAAGGGGUGGGCAGCUCCUCUCUGAAAACACCCGAGGAACCAGCCAGAAAAGCUUUUAUGGCCCGACAAGUUUUCUGCUGAAUAC
ensembl:lncRNA